AUUGAACGCUGGCGGCAUGCUUUACACAUGCAAGUCGAACGGCAGCACGGGAGCUUGCUCCUGGUGGCGAGUGGCGAACGGGUGAGUAAUGCAUCGGAACGUACCCAGUAGUGGGGGAUAGCCCGGCGAAAGCCGGAUUAAUACCGCAUAUUUCCUGAGGGAGAAAGCGGGGGACCUUCGGGCCUCGCGCUACUGGAGCGGCUGAUGUCGGAUUAGCUAGUUGGUGAGGUAAAGGCUCACCAAGGCGACGAUCCGUAGCUGGUCUGAGAGGAUGAUCAGCCACACUGGGACUGAGACACGGCCCAGACUCCUACGGGAGGCAGCAGUGGGGAAUUUUGGACAAUGGGGGCGAACCCUGAUCCAGCCAUGCCGCGUGAGUGAAGAAGGCCUCGGUU
rnacentral:rRNA from 1 species